rnacentral:lncRNA from 1 species
UCAUCACAUUAAAGCCAAAGUACAGGAGUGACCAAAAUAAAUACAUAACGUUCUUACAUAGUUAUAAUUAUUGAACAACAUAUAGCUCUCUAGAGCAUCUAAUUAGAACAUACAUUGAAACUACUAAAUUUAAAUGCAACAACAAAUGCGAUCAUAACCGCAACUAAGGUACAAAUUGAUCCAACGACAUAAUGAUACCAAGCCUCAGUAUAAAUGACAUAUUUUCUAAUGUUUUUAAUCUUCAAGCGCAUUGCAUUCAUCUUGAUCUUGUGAUCGUCACGCACAUCGGCAACAUCCAACUCCAAUAUCAU